AUCAGGCACCAUCUGACUGGAAAAAGUGACAUAAAGCUUCUAACAACACAGAUAUUAUGGAUAGCUUGGCUUUAUGCCGUGCUUUUUAUCAGACAACAUCAUGUAGUUUUAACCUCUGUGUGUGUGAUUUGCUUUUAUGAACCACCAGGAAACAACCACAUGUGGGGAGAAAUGUGACUGUGAUGAAACAGGUCACAGCAGAGUUUUGUUGUGAUAGCACAUCUCUCCAGUUCAUGAAGCUCCAGGCAGCAGAUGAAGCACUGAAAGCACAGUGGUCAUAUGCAGUGCAAAGACAGGUGAAAAGUGUGAUCUACAUUGUUUAUGAGAGAUGAUGUAUCUUAAUGAAGAGAAAUUGAUUCAAACUUGCCCUGAUACAAAGGAGCAGAAAAUGAAGAGCUGUUUCUAAAGAGCUGAAGCGGGACAGAUGAAAGGAUUGAGAUUGCUGGACCAGACUAAGCCAAGUGCCUAUCCUAGGCUCCCUUAAAAGACUGGAUCACUUGGUUAUGCUGGAUUAAACUGGACUGAAACUAUCACCACUAGUGGCUUUUGUUUUAAGCAUUGACAGCAGUGGGAAAAGGAGAAGCAGGAGAACUGCUGCUAGUCAAGGCAAGGGGAUGUGGACAAAUCAGUGGGUCAGUGCUCACACAGAUCCUUCAAACAGCCAGGACAUCGACAACUCUAGGAGAUCCUUCUGGGUAGGGAUUUGGCAGCAUAUUGCAGCAGGGAGCUGUAAAAGUCUGUCACAGAGCUCAGCUGAGGAGUCCAGCAGAAGACUGUCAGUCACCAUCAUGCACCCAGAAGCAGUCCCAGAAACCACAGGAAAAGGAAGGAUACGUGGCUGAAGGGAAGCUAGAACUCUUGCACUAAGGAGCAGGUGAUUGAUGUAAUCAGUCAGCUGCAAAACCUGAUGAAGAACAGCAAGAAAGCCAAGGUGGACUCACCUCUUUUCUCAGUUGGGAUAGAAGCAUCUGAAUACGCACCUCCAACUGGACAAUGAAGGGAAAUGAGCAAAGUUCGUUAAGUUGUGAAUAUCCAUGUGUGUAAAUUCAUUUUUAUAUGCAGUUAUUCCUUGUUUUCUGAAAUAAUAUCCACACUUUAGAUUCAAAUAAUAUUGAACAAGAAGAAAGACCUUGCCAUUUUCUGGGGUUAGCAUGGAAAUGAAUGACAUUAAAAAGGUGUUUUCUGGAGUGACAAGGGUAGGGAGAAGGCAAUUCAGAAGUAGAACUUCAUCACAUUAAUAUGAUACUGUAGAGGCAGAACCUUCAUUGUAACAAGUUGUCAAUAAUGGCUAGAUGCUUAUAUAGAUGACCUAAUUGUUAAAUUCCAUGUCUUUAAACACACCAAUUUCACAAAAAGGAUACCAUUGUUUACUGUAGGUAUCCUUUUAUGAAUCAUCUAUCCAUGGGCCUGCAGCCCUCUGCCUGGAGCCUGCUAUAGCACAUUUCCCACAGGGUCACAGUCUCCUCUCAGGCAUCCACCUGCUCCUGCAUGGGCUCCUCCACAGGCUGCAGGUGGAUCUCUGCGUCCCUGUGAUCCUCCAUGGGCUGCAGGUGUCUCACCAUGGUCUGCGUCACAGACUACACAGGAAUCUCAUCUCCCCCUCCUUCUCCACUGACCUUGGGGUCUGAAUAGCUGUUCCUCUCCCAUAUUCUCAUGGCUCUUCGCUGGCUGCAAUUAUAUCUGCCAGCCUUUCUUUUUUACUUCUUUUUCUUAGAUCAGUUAUCCCAGAGGCAUUCCCACAAUUUCUGAUUGGCCCAGCUUUGGCCAGCAGCUUGACUGUCUUGGAGCUGUCUGGCACAGGCUCUGCUGGACAUGGAGGAGGAAGCUUCUGGCAGCUUCUCACAGAAGCCACCCCUGUAUCCCCCCUGCUACCAAAGCUUGGCCAUGCAAACCCAACACAACAGGCUGUAAAUUCUUUGUUGUUCUAUUCUGCUUGUACAGCAGUAAACACAGCGACCAUCCACAUUUGCAGAUACAGUAACUACAGCCAAAAUAAUGGCAAUUCCAUCCAAAUAAAAGUUUAGAUGUUCUGCAGGAAUGUUGAUAGUAGGAAAAAAAAAGUGAUAGACCACAUUAAGCCAAGAAAUUAUUCCAUUUUCAGAGAGCAUGUGGAGAAUGCUUUUUCCACAAGGCAUCCAGCUCUACUCACAAAUUAAAUUUGUUCAAGUGGCAGUCAAACUGCACAUGGUUGCAGUUCACUGUUUUCUGGUGAAUGAAUGUGAUGGGGAUGUCUCCAUCUGCACAAUAAAGAAGUUCACUGGUAUUUAACUCAACCCAAACCCAUCCCUUCACGGAGUUUUCAAUACCUGUUUAGGAACAUGGACAUAAGAAUAAUUUUUAGCAAACACAGGAGAGCCAGAAAGCUUUAGCAAAGAUUCCUUCCUAUUGACAAAGCUAAAUCUACCUGUCACUAGGACAGAGAAGAGUUUAUGGGCGUAGUUCUGUUGGUUAAUCAAACAAACAAUUUGAAACAUGGUAACAGCCCAAGACUAAAGAGAACAGUUUAUUUGUGAACGUAUUUCCACUGAACAUGAUACAAAGAAUUAUUCUUCUGACCUAAUGUUACCCAAAUUAAAGGAAGAGUAUUUUGUCCCUUUGUUUAAACCAUGAAUAAAUACAGAAUAAUGAGAAAAUUAUGCAUAAUCCCAGAGCUGCAAAAGGCACUUAAAAAAAAUUCUAGUAGCUUCUCCCCCUCCCUCUUCUUGAGUCACUGUCACCUGCCUCAAAGCUGCAUCUGGAAAAAGGAUGGAGGUGUAGUCUCCUGAAAGGGCUUGUUUUGCCAAAGUUGGCAUGGGAGCACUGGGCAAGAGUUCAAUCCCAGCAUCAGUUUAGGAUUACGUAAAGUCAAUUCUCUUCAUUGUUUCUGCUGAUCUUUAAGCUGUUAGAAAAGAGUCAGUGUGACUUGAUUCCUUUGAAUGGAAAAUAGCACAAUGGUUCCAUGGUGGAAAUGGUUGUGCUGAUUAGGAAAGCAGUUUUCCGUCACGAAAGCAAACAUGUGGCCACACUUCCAUGCAAGUAUGGAAUGCCAUGUGGUUACUUUUUAUGCAGCCAAAACAAUACCCUCAACUCUUGCUUGACAUGGAGGAUUUUAUGUAUGAUGUGGACUCCAGAGCUGUUUGAAGACCAGGGUUCUGGAAAAGUCAUCAAAAGCUGUCUGCUUUCCUCUGGAUUUUGCCUUGAAAAUGACUGACAUUUUAAAGUAAUUCUAUUCAUUUCUAUCGUUUCACCAACUCAUACAAGCAAAUCCUCCUUUCCUCCUAAUAGCUGAACCAGGUUGUCUUGAAAUAAUAAAAUCUAACAAAGGAAGCGCAGUAAAUUAUUUUGGGGGCAUCGGUACAGGGGAAUCAAGGAUCUAUCUCAGCUCCUGCUCCUAAUGGCAUGCUUUCCAUCAUCUGUAAAUUGCAAUACUCCAUGGAGUGAUGUUCACAGGCUGUGCUGGAGGAAGAAAGGCACAUUAUUUGGUAUCUUGUACCAAAAGCAGGUGAGGAGCAUGCAAAGGGUAUGGCUGGUAUUAAUGUGUGGAUGCCACAUUGCAGCAGGAGCCAUGCCAGCUCAUGAAGGGCAGGUCUUACAGCUCUCAUCUUUGCUGCCUCAUUAAAUCUGUGUAGCUGCCCAAAAUAGGGUUUCAGUUGAGGGCAUCAUGAUGCUUACUCCUCCUUUCUGACCCAUCUUAUGUUGUAAUGAGCCUAACUCUCUUUCUCAUUUCCCAUUAUUUAUAAAAUUUGCAGAAAGUUAAGUACCUUUGCAGCACACCUGCAGUCCAGACAAGACAGCUUCAAGUCAGACAGGGAUCACAAAGAAAGAGCUGUUAUACAGAGCACUCAUGUAAGCUUGUAUUUCUCCAAGAAGCCAAGCUAAGGUUGAAAAAUCCCAAGUGUUUCAGGCUGUUCACACUGGACUUUUUUUUUUUUAAUGAUAUAGCUGCCUAAUAUAAUUUUUUGCUAAGUUAAAACACUGAUCAAUUGAAAAUGAAAUAUUUAAGGGGGCUUUUUGGGAGAUACUUUAACAAGUAAAAUCACAUCUGCUUCAAAACCAGAAGCUUAAAUUCUUGGAAAAAGUACCCACAAACAUGUUUCAGGUUUUUUUUUUGUGUAACACAACUCUUUGACUUCAGCUGAUGGAUUCAAAUGCAGACUGCUUACAUUAGAUCCAACUUCACUAAUAGUUUCCAUUCUCCCUGAACGCACUUUCUGGCAAAACAAUUCCCUGCAGCUCUGUCGUCUCCAAACACUUCAGUGUCAUCACUCUCACAAGCCAAGUGUAUGAAAACAUAACAUAAAUGAUAGCUAAACACAAAGAAGGAACAAAGCUGCAUAAAGUUGUAGAGGAGAUUAGGAAUCUCAAUUAGUUUAUUUCUAAAUUCAUUCAGAUUGGAAAAUUUAGGAAGGGUGGUUCUUACGUGCCUUCAUGAGUGUGACAACGAAUUAUUAAUUUGAGGACUGAGAGAGGCUUUUCCUCCCUGCUCUUGCCACGGUUGUAUUCUGGCAUUGAGAAAUUCCCAUGUGUUCCAUUUGUGACAGCAACCAUAGAGACUAACUCCUGUCUCCUUGUGUCCUGCUGCAGCUGAUGAAGCUUGGUGGUGCCAGCAGAGCAUCAGGAGCUUCUCACUGGUCCCGUGCAGCCAGUGCAGCAGGCAACAGGGAAAGCUCAGUGCCCGGGGAAGAAACAUGCAAGUUCAUGACACAAAGCCUGGCCCACAGGCAGCAAGCAGACAAGCUUCUACUUACUGCAAGGUAAAUCUUUUAUCUCACCCCGCUGUUGAGCCAGAAGGGCUGGAGCAGAACUGUGGUAGUGUGGGGGGAGAAAUGGCUGAAGAAAGUGCAGGGGAUGCAAAAACCCUCCUCCUGUGCUCAUUCCACCACAAGAAAGACAGACAGCUGAGAGUGAGCUUUUCUUCUUCCUCACAAGCUAGAAACUGAAGAACAAUUACCAAAUUGUUCAAUUGUUCAAUUCCAAAUUGUACCAAAUCAUAGUUUUGCAUCUACUGACACAGAAUGCUGUACAUUAGAAACAUUCUCUUUCCCCAUUUCUUUCACCCCCUCCACUCCCCGUCCAAGCUUUUGGCUGCUCCAAACCUUCUGAGGUUUGACCUGAGGACAGUCCAGCAACAGUUUUCUGCAUCAUAGCAGAUCUAGAGUAGCAUAAAAUUUCCUUCAAAGUGUGAAGUCAAAAGAUAAGCCAGUCCAAGAUGAGAAAGAAGGCACGGAUGUGCUGUCUGCUUUUUAGUUGUUUUCAGCUAUUAUUUCAACUAUUAAUUCAUUGUGUAAGAGGAGGGACUAUGGCAACAAUUCAUGUUUCAUGCAGAUCACCAUUGCAGAAAUGGUCCCCAUGCAAUUUUGUAUUCUCAGUGCAUCUGGAUGCGUUGCAAGUGAAAUCAGUCAUUUUGAAAAAUUACUACAAUUUUCAUUAAUUUUGAAGUAAUUUUUGAGUCAUCUAGUUAGCAUAAUGAGUAAAAGUAACAGACUUUCAGUGAACUGAACAGCCUUCUUGCUUGGUUUUUAUCCAGUUUUUUUAUGAAACUCCUAAAAAUUUCAAGCAACUCCUGCAAUAUCUGGAUAACUACACCCACAGCACCAUGAAACAUGGCAUUAUUAUGCUUUUAUGGAGAAAAGUGACUGUCCUGGACUGAAAGAGUCCCAGACUAGGCAUGACUCAUGUCAACCCCUAUGGACACACCAUGAUCGAGCCAGGGCUCCAUGCAAGGCUUUUCAGGCAUUUUCUCAGAGAAGAGCGUUGUGUCAAAUGUCGCUGGACACUUGGCACACAGAAGGAGAAAACAAACAGAUGCAAACAUUCAACAAGGAAGUCAAAGUGUAACAGACAAAGUCACAGUAGUCUGAGUGGGGAAGAUAAGCCCUGGCUCCCCUUCAGUCGCCUGUCAACAGGACUGCUCCUAUCUCCAGCACUUGGCCUCAGGAGCAGAUUUUCCCUUUGCAGUAUCUGUCCCCCAUGCAUGUGCUGCUUCCCACACAUGCUGGGCACACUGCUCCUUAUCCCGGGCUUGGGGACAUGCUCCCUCUACUUGACUCCUUCUGAAAUCCUCCUGCUGGCCCUUUUCUUUUCUCCUACCUAUCUCUGCCUUUAUAGUUAUUUCUUUCAACUUGUUUGUGAAGUAAAAACAGAAAUUUAUAAUUUCCGUCACACAAUCCUGUAGCUUCUAGGUUAGUUUUCACACUAGGUGGUGCUUCUGCAGGUUAAGGCCUCUCCACCCACUUUCUGCCCCAGUCCUCCACCUUCUCCCAUCUUUCCUCAUCUUUCCUUACCUCAUUCAAGCUAUGGAGACAAGAGUCCAAUUAUAAUUCUUACUUUCUCUUUCAACUGGAUUUAAACUGCUUACACAUCUUUCUUGCACCAAUAACUUAUAUAUAAGAAACUUAUGCGUAUAUAUUUACAUAUUAACUAAUGCUCAAAGGUGACUUCGGUCAGGCUGUUGUGGACUCUCUAGCUUCUUCCACACCCCCAGGUUUCCAUUCUCAGAGUUUGGAACGGGACAAGACUCUCUGGAGUCUCAGGGGCUGAUGAUGGUUGCUCAUGUUGUGUGUUUUAUUGCCUCAGGGAAGUCUCGAUGUGCUCAGCCUGUCACUUGCCCACUCUGACACUUGCAGCCCCCACACAGUGCCAGCAUCCCUGCCUGACUGCCAGGGGGCUCAGGCAGCUCCAGCAACAGGCACAGCUCCCAUAAAGGGGAGACAGGAGGGAACUGCCUCUUCCCAGUGAGAUCAUACCUCCAUGUUGGACCCUCUAGAUCAGGGAGUGCAUCCUGGCUCACAUCCUGCAGCCAGGGGAAGACAGAGGCUUUCCCCACUGCUGCAGCUGAAGCCACUGGAAAGAAGGUGCAGUGCUGCCCUGGGGUGAAGGAGGCACAUGCAAAUUGGCUUCUGGUGCUCAGCUGAGUUGCAGCAGAGAUAAUGGAGAGGGUUUUAAAGCUUUCCUCAAAUCCUCUCUCUCCUUAGGGAAAUCUACAUGUAGUUCAUCUGUGCCUACAGAUUCAGACUUCACAGCAGCAUGCACCAAGUUCUGAGAGCUAAUUGUAUAUAGCUAUAUCUGUUGAUUAGCUAGGCUGCUCUCCGAAUUUGAAAUGUAACCAUCCAAGCAAAUGGUUGGAUGCAUUGCAGAGGCUCCUGCUCCACAUGCCAGCAGUUUCCUUGAGGGCUUCAUGUAGCUCUGGAGGUAUGCAAAAGAUAAAUGCAGCAGAUCAGCAUAUUCUUAGUUUACCUUUUUUUCCCUUUUCACCUUGCCUAUUUCCUUUUUAACAUUUUAUGAUCAAGUAAUUAGUGUUAGUUGCAGUGGAUUCUUUACCUGCAGUUUGUUUGCUUAACUGAAAGAGCUCUGUUUAUUCUCAAAGCCAAUCCAGAGCAAUGCACUAACAAACCAGAGACAAGGAUGCAUGUGGUUUUAUUUACCCUCUAAUACUACUUCACUUUUCAUAUAUUGUUUCAUGCAUCAGGUAUAGUAACUGAAAAGUGUAUUUAUUAGUCUAUCUGAACAGUAGAGCAGCCUGGAGAAAAAAACAUUUAUUUCUUUUAUGUGACAGCUAGUUCUGAAAGCAAUAAAACCCACAUAUUGAUAAAAAGUAGGAGGAGCAGAUAACAUUUUUAAUUAUAUUUCAGAAGUCUCCCAGGCAUCCUGCCCUGCGGAGGUAGUGACUUGUAUCAGGGGCCCAUUAAAGGAGGAUCUGUUCAGAGCAGCACCCCCAUAGAGCUGUGUACCAGUCACUUCUUCUGGAAGCUUUGGUAGUUUCUGGAAGUAGUUGUUUCAGCUUUAAUAACCAACAGAUUAAAAAAACUGAGAGAGGCAGAGUUGUGGAAUGAAGACCCAUGUCACUAUAUGUAGGCAGUAAACACCUCAGUAGCUUCUGAUCCCUUUUUUCACUUCUUCUAUUCUCCUUUUCUAUUUCUGAAUAUUGCCUGUCUUGAUGUUAUGAAAAUAUUUGUUAUUCCACACAUAGGGUUUCUUCCUCCAAAAUUGGGUUCAUGCAGUCUUUUGUUUUUCAGUUUAUAUGAUCUUAGAAACAUAUUUCUCAAGAGAGUAGAGAAGGUCUUAUGAUAUUACAAAGUAGCUUAAGAAAGAUAGUAGCUAUUUCCAAACAAGCAGCAAAUUAUAAUGGUUGUGCUGGAUUGAAAAAUUUCUUUCAUAUUUCAUUAAACACCACAGGACUGAAUCAGCUGAGUCACCUCAAGUGACUCUUCUCAGAAAAGAUAAGUGGCCACUUAUUUCCCAUUACCACAUAAAGUGUUUCUCAAAUGUACCUGAAAGUUAUAAACAAAGACAAAGGACAAUGAACAGUUUUCUUCUUUUUUUUUUUUUUUUCUUCAGAUGGGAUAAAGUUGCAAUUGUUAGUGCUGUAAAACAAACUGGAAGUGAGUGUCUAAAAUAAAAAUGGCUUUCAAGAAAAAUUAAA